rnacentral:lncRNA from 1 species
GGGGUUCCAAAAAAAGAGAAUAGUAUAUACUUGAUAUACACUCUAGAUAUACAGGGACAGAAUUCAGUUUGGAGAGAGUAAAAAGAUAGAACAAAAUUUUCUGAAAUAUUGAGAGUGGAAGGAAACCAGAGAGAGUUCAAAGCUAGAAAUAUAAAGAAAAAUAUAUGUUUGGACUAUUUUUCUUCUUCAUUUUACUGGUUUUCUCCGUGUUGUUGGGAUUUCUGGAUUGAGGUGUUGAAGCUACUGUGUUGGACUUUCCGCUGCUGUGUUUUUUGCUUUUUGUUGUUGCUGAUUGGCUACCACAUUUUUCUGUUAUACAUACCAGGUACAUGUGCUGAAACUCGAUGUAUGUAAAUAUCCAGUUGAAAAUGAAUGAAGUGGAGGCCUAUUGUUGAUUUACUGCUUUCAUUAUACUGUAAUAACUGUACUGAUGGAUUGUUAAUCAUAAGUUUGCGCAUUUGAACCGUUAAGUGUGUGUUAGAAAUUCAUACGAAUUUAGUUGAGUAUUUGUUGUAAUGAUUCAAUGCUGGACUAACAGAAUGGUUUCUAUUAGUUUAGUUAAUUUCCGAUUUUCCUAGAUCAGUAUAAAUGGUGUUUUCAUCUAUGAUUCAGUAGGCUGUAGACUGUUAAAUUAGUGUGAUACUUCUUCUGAUCAUGGGAGCUUUAUAUUUAGUAGUGAUGAUGUGAGUUAAUCUAUAACUUUGAGUUUGAGUGGUUGUGCGUGGGUUCGAAAUCACAAAAUUAAAAGUAGAUAUGAUAUUUGAAAUCAGAAAUUAUUUUUAAGUAUAUGUAAUUCGUAAGGUUAAUUUACGCAAUCCAUUUUCAUCCAGCAUCCUUAAUUCUCGAGUUUCAUAUGUGGUCACGUUAGUGUUUAAUCAAAGUUCAUGAGUCAGCAUUUUAAUAAAAAUGAGUCAUAGAAGGGAAUUUGAAAUUUGAACUAGUAUGCACCAUGUUUGAAAUUGUGAUCAUUGGCAGUUUACGUGGGUCAUGAAAUCUGAAAUCAGUUGCUUUCCAACUCAUGUUUAAUGCAG